rnacentral:rRNA from 1 species
CACGAACGCUGGCGGCAGGCUUAACACAUGCAAGUCGAGCGCCCCGCAAGGGGAGCGGCAGACGGGUGAGUAACGCGUGGGAAUCUACCCAUCUCUACGGAAUAACGCAUGGAAACGUGUGCUAAUACCGUAUACGUCCUUCGGGAGAAAGAUUUAUCGGAGAUGGAUGAGCCCGCGUUGGAUUAGCUAGUUGGUGGGGUAAAGGCCUAGCAAGGCGACGAUCCAUAGCUGGUCUGAGAGGAUGAUCAGGCACACUGGGACUGAGACACGGCCCAGACUCCUACGGGAGGCAGCAGUGGGGAAUAUUGGACAAUGGGCGCAAGCCUGAUCCAGCCAUGCCGCGUGAGUGAUGAAGGCCCUAGGGUUGUAAAGCUCUUUCACCGGUGAAGAUAAUGACGGUAACCGGAGAAGAAGCCCCGGCUAACUUCGUGCCAGCCGCCGCCGUAACAC